AAACACAUAUAACCACAGGCUGUACCCUUGCAUUGACUAUGUAGAAAAAGGGGCAAAGUAAGUGCCCAGUAUCCACCUCAACCCAAGCUCUGUGCCUGGUUUGUAUUGUGAAUGGGGCAACAUGG